rnacentral:rRNA from 1 species
AGAGUUUGAUCCUGGCUCAGGACGAACUUUGGCGGCGCGCCUAACACAUGCAAGUCGAACGGAGUUUAGAGAGCUUGCUUUUUAAACUUAGUGGCGGACGGGUGAGUAACACGUGAGUAACCUACCUUUCAAAGGGGGAUAACGUCUGGAAACGGACGCUAAUACCGCAUAAUACUAUUUGAGGGCAUCCUUGGAUAGUCAAAGGAGAAAUCCGAUGGGAGAUGGACUCGCGGCUGAUUAGAUAGUUGGCGGGGUAGAGGCCCACCAAGUCGACGAUCAGUAGCCGGACUGAGAGGUUGAACGGCCACAUUGGGACUGAGACACGGCCCAGACUCCUACGGGAGGCAGCAGUGGGGGAUAUUGCACAAUGGGGGAAACCCUGAUGCAGCGACGCCGCGUGAGGGAAGACGGUUUUCGGAUUGUAAACCUCUGUCUUUGGGGACGAAUUGAGACGGUACCCAAGGAGGAAGCUCCGGCUAACUACGUGCCAGCAGCCGCGGUAAUACGUAGGGAGCAAGCGUUGUCCGGAAUUACUGGGUGUAAAGGGAGCGUAGGCGGGAUAGUAAGUUGAUUGUUAAAACUAUCGGCUCAACUGGUAGAUGCGAUCAAAACUGCAAUUCUUGAGUGAAGUAGAGGCAGGCGGAAUUCCUAGUGUAGCGGUGAAAUGCGUAGAUAUUAGGAGGAACACCAGUGGCGAAGGCGGCCUGCUGGGCUUUAACUGACGCUGAGGCUCGAAAGUGUGGGUAGCAAACAGGAUUAGAUACCCUGGUAGUCCACACUGUAAACGAUGAUUACUAGGUGUGGGUGGACUGACCCCAUCCGUGCCGCAGUUAACACAAUAAGUAAUCCACCUGGGGAGUACGAUCGCAAGAUUGAAACUCAAAGGAAUUGACGGGGGCCCGCACAAGCAGUGGAGUAUGUUGUUUAAUUCGACGCAACGCGAAGAACCUUACCAGGUCUUGACAUCCUACUAACGAAGCAGAGAUGCAUCAGGUGCCCUUCGGGGAAAGUAGAGACAGGUGGUGCAUGGUUGUCGUCAGCUCGUGUCGUGAGAUGUUGGGUUAAGUCCCGCAACGAGCGCAACCCUUACUAUUAGUUGCUACGCAAGAGCACUCUAAUAGGACUGCCGUUGACAAAACGGAGGAAGGUGGGGAUGACGUCAAAUCAUCAUGCCCUUUAUGACCUGGGCUACAAACGUACUACAAUGGAUAGAAACAGAGGGAAGCCAUACAGCGAUGUAGAGCAGAACCCGAAAAGUAUUCUCAGUUCAGAUUGCAGGCUGCAACUCGCCUGCAUGAAGUCGGAAUUGCUAGUAAUCGCGGAUCAGCAUGCCGCGGUGAAUACGUUCCCGGGCCUUGCACACACCGCCCGUCA